UUUACAAUUUGCCUCUAUACAAUUUGCGUUAACCAAACAGAUCGAUUCCACUAAACUUGCAAGAAAUGGAGGAAGAAGAGUAGAAGGCCCUCUUAAAUUCAAAAUUUUCAAUAAGCCUUGAAAGAUAAUGCUCCCUUCUCUGAAACAACUGCCUUUUACCAUAAUGCAGCUCUUCAUCCUGCGUGAAAAAACAUCUACCUCUGAACAAAUCUUUAACUACUUCACAGAUAUUGCAAGAAAGAAAUUCAAUACUAUUUUUUUAGUGUAUUGAAACAUGAUUUGGAAAGCAGAUGAUGAAAUCAAGCCAUUUGGAAACUGAUUCAUGCGAGAGAUCCAACCAUUAGGUGGGCCGUAUUGUUUAGAUCUUCUGGUUAAAAAUCAGGCCAUUUCAUUCCUCAGGCUGGCCAAACAGAGGCCCAAAACUGUUUCUUGCUAGCCAUUCAUUUGUUUUGUAUGUUAUAGACCACUUGACAAGUGAAACAAACUGAUUUUUAGGCCAGAAUAUCUAAAAAAGCAUAGCCUAAAUGGAGUUUGAUUAUGUAGAUUAUUGUUGUUGACUUGAGUAUUUGAAUCAGUCUCAAAUGCUCAUUUGGAAGCACCCACUAGAGGCCACCUCAAUGAUGGGUCAAUUGUAUUUAAGUGGUUUGCAUUUGUAACUGGUAGAUAUGUAGAUUGUCUUUUGGACCAUUUGUGUAAACUUGUCUUGGCCAUGGAAAAAAGGAGAUGGGUUGGAUAGUUAUGAACUUCCAAUGAGCAUGCUUUUCAAGCUACUCUUUAUCCAAGAGUUGUUCCAUUGCCUAGAUAGUGCAGAUCCGUCCCCGAAGUGCACCAAUUAACAGUUUGUAGGGUUGGCACUGCCAAAGUGAAAAAUGAGAAUGUUCUUUGCUGCACUUCUGGUUGUUGAUAACUAUGAUUAGUUGUCAAUUUCCACUCUUUAUCUUAGAUAGCCGAAUAUACAAACUCAUUUAUGCCAAUUAAUUUUCUUUUUGGCCUUCUUCUUUGCAGGAUUGAUGCUGAGACCUUUCUGUUUAUUGGAUCAGUACUCCUCUUGUGGUAGUGAUAUGUGAAUGGGCGUAGUUGAUUUUUGGGUGAAUAUUGUAAAUUGUUGUCUGUAAGGUCGAUUAAGCAACACAAUUAUUUUUGGGCUAUGUCAGGAAAUGAUACAAUGACCUGUUAUUUCCAUGUGCUUCAGUUAUGCCACAUGACAAUUUAGGUGGACAAUUUUUUGAGGCUGAGCCCACAUUUUAAAUCAUCAUUUUCAUCUC